rnacentral:rRNA from 1 species
CCAGCCUGCCCAGUGACAAGAUUCAACGGCCGCGGUACCCUGACCGUGCGAAGGUAGCAUAAUCACUUGUUCUUUAAAUGAGGACCUGUAUCAACGGCAUCACGAGGAUCACACUGUCUCCCCACCCUAAUCGGUGAAACUGAUCUCCCCGUGAAGAAGCGGGGAUAAAUAUAUAAGACGAGAAGACCCCAUGGAGCUUUAAACCUGACGACACCCGCUUGUUUUAUGCCCUUCUAUCUACCCGGUUUCUGUCUGCUCAGUUUUAGGUUGGGGUGACCGCGGAGUAUAAAACAGCCUCCAUGAAAAAAGAGAUAACCUCCCUUAUUAGAGAAUUACACUUCCAAGAACUAAUAAAUUAAUUUUAAAUGAUCCGAUAAUCGAUCAACGAACCAAGUUACCCUGGGGAUAACAGCGCAAUCCACCCCGAGAGCCCCUAUCGACAGGUGGGUUUACGACCUCGAUGUUGGAUCAGGGUAUCCCAGUGGUGCAGCAGCUACCAAAGGUUCGUUUGUUCAACGAUUAAAACCCUACGUGAU